rnacentral:rRNA from 1 species
GAUGAACGCUGGCGGCGUGCCUAAUACAUGCAAGUCGAACGAAGAUCUAGCUUGCUAGAUCUUAGUGGCGAACGGGUGAGUAAUACAUAAAUAAUCUGCCCAUAUGACUGGGAUAACUAUUGGAAACGAUAGCUAAUACCGGAUAGGUUGAUCGGAGGCAUCUCUGAUGAAUUAAAGUAGGAUUUCUACACAAAUGGAUGAGUUUAUGGCGCAUUAGUUAGUUGGUGGGGUAACGGCCUACCAAGACGAUGAUGCGUAGCCGGCCUGAGAGGGUGACCGGCCACACUGGGACUGAGACACGGCCCAGACUCCUACGGGAGGCAGCAGUAGGGAAUUUUCGGCAAUGGGCGCAAGCCUGACCGAGCAACGCCGCGUGAGUGAUUAAGGCCUUCGGGUUGUAAAGCUCUGUCGUAAGGGAAGAACAUUCAGGAUAGGAAAUGAUCUUGAACUGACGGUACCUUACCAGAAAGCCACGGCUAACUACGUGCCAGCCGCCGCCGUAA